AUUGAACGCUGGCGGCAGGCCUAACACAUGCAAGUCGAGCGGAGCGGCGGACGGGUGAGUAAUGCCUAGGAAUCUGCCUGGUAGUGGGGGAUAACGUCCGGAAACGGGCGCUAAUACCGCAUACUAUCAGAUGAGCCUAGGUCGGAGUAGCUAGUUGGUGGGGUAAAGGCAUACCAAGGCGACGAUCCGUAACUGGUCUGAGAGGAUGAGCGGUCACACGGGAACUGAGACACGGUCCAGACUCCUACGGGAGGCAGCAGUGGGGAAUAUUGCACAAUGGGCAAAAGCCUGAUCCAGCCAUGCCGCGUGUGUGAAGAAGGUCUUCGGAUUGUAAAGCACUUUAAGUUGGGAGGCGUUACCCGCAGAAGAAGCACCGGCUAACUCCGUGCCAGCAGCCGCGGUAAUAC
rnacentral:rRNA from 1 species